rnacentral:rRNA from 1 species
AGCGAACGCUGGCGGCGUGCCUAACACAUGCAAGUCGAACGUGAAAAGGGAAACCUGAGUAAAGUGGCGUACGGGUGAGUAACGCGUAGGUAAUCUACCCCAGAAUCUGGAAUAACCUGCCGAAAGGCGGGCUAAUACUGGAUAGAGCGAGGGAACUCGUAAGAGAGUUUUUCGGGAAAGGGAGCCCGCAAGGGCCUUCGUUCUGGGAUGAGCCUGCGUCUCAUUAGCUAGUUGGUAAGGUAACGGCUUACCAAGGCGAUGAUGAGUAGCUGGUCUGAGAGGAUGAUCAGCCACACUGGAACUGAAACACGGUCCAGACUCCUACGGGAGGCAGCAGUGGGGAAUCUUGCGCAAUGGACGAAAGUCUGACGCAGCCACGCCGCGUGAGUGAAGAAGGCCUUCGGGUUGUAAAGCUCUGUCGGAUGGGACGAACAUCUUCAUAGUGAAUAGCUAUGAGGACUGACGGCACCAUCAAAGGAAGCACCGGCUAACUCCGUG